rnacentral:lncRNA from 1 species
CCAGUUCCAAAUUUAUUACUACUCACCCCAGAUUUUCUUCCGAUAAAUUUUACAACUUUCUUUCACAGAUUCGAUGCCACGAGCUGUGUAAACUUUGAGCAGAUUCAUAUCACACAAAGGUUUGCUUCCUUCUAUUCAAGAACACAAUAACAUAGCUAUCACCAAUUGUUUUCACAAAACAAAAUCAAUCAAGAUGUUCAUAUGCAUGUACUUUGCAUAAUCUGAAGCAUUUAUUUCAUAAACUGAAUCAAGUUUUCUUGAAGUGAAUAAAUGAGUAGAAAAAUGUUUUUAAAUUGGAAAAAAAGGGGAAUAAUUUGCUGUCGGAUGUGGGUGACUCGAGGCAAGUCGGGGACUGAGAGGCGGCUGCGGCUUGAUUGCUGCUGCUGCUGCUGCUCGAGAGUUGAGGGAGAAACCGGCGGCGGCGGAGGCUGUUGAUUGUUGUUGUCUGUCGGUCGGGAGGAGAGAAAAUGGGCAGGGCGGUGGUCCUUGUGGGCUGCUGUUCAGCCGGUCGAUGGAGGAGGAAGGCGGCUGAGCGGCGACGCCGCUGUUACCGCGGCUGUUGUCGCCGGCAAGGGAGAGGUGCCGGGCGUCCGUUGGAGAGGAAGAAGAACAAAAAUAAAAAAUAGAGAGAGACCGAUAGAUAAGAGAGAUAGAAGGGAGAUGGGCUUGUUGAAUUAUUGUUGGGUUUAAUUAAAUGAUGAGCAUGGGCUGCAUUUUGAUGUUGAGCUUGGCACUUGUUUAUUUAGUGAGAUGAAUUGGACUUAAGUUUUUCGUUUGAUUAAUUUGAGCCUUGGCUUGGUUAUUUAUUCAAAGUUGCAUAAUAAAUAUUAUUGCAUUAAGUAUGAGAUUUUAGAUAUGUGAUUAUAGCAUGAGUUUGCAAAAGAGUUCAAAAUUUUUAAGCUAUACUUUUGCAAUAAGUAUUUUGAAAUUGGGAUUUAGUUAUGUUUAAUGAGAGGUCGAUUAAUUGCCGAACUAGGAUUUAAGAAUUUUAUGGAAAUGUUAGCAGAGACGAUAUUUUGAGGCCUAUUAAGAUUAGAUUAUCUUGUAGGUCCACUUGAUAGAAGGCUUUAGCACUGAUUUUACAAGAAGAGAAUUGUGCAAGAUUUAUUUACAGGCUUGUUAUCAAGGUGGGUUUUUAUUUUCCAAAGUAUGUUUUGAGUUAUUAAGCUCUACUUGUUUUAUGCAAAUGCAAAUGAAUGUCCAUGUUAAAAUGUUUUUAUCUCUCUAUUGUUUAAAGUGCUCCUAUGUUCUCUAACGAUCGGGUCCUAGCCGGCGUAGCGAUUGGAUCGCCCUGGUUAGGAUUGUGUACACACAAGGGGGUAUUGUGGGCUGCUCCCACUUGCCUCAGACUGUUAGACUUGGGCUGCUCCUAUUUCUGAAACAUGCAUGGUAGUGGACCUCUGUGGGCUGCUCCCACAUGUUCACAUUAUAGGCGAAGCACCAGUAGAGAGAAGACUGAAAAUGGAUCCACAAUUUAUUUUAAGUAUGCAUGGAAUGCUUUCAAAUAUUUCUAUGUUAUACUGUUUAAUGGAUUUUCAAAUGUUUUCAAAUGGCUAAACCCACUGAGUAUAUUAGUACUCAGCCCUGCAAUUGUUUUCAAAACCUUUUGCAGGUUGAGCGGCAGGUGGUGACGUGCGAGGUUGAGGGAGGAUGUUGCUGUAGCUUCAUAUAAUAAUUUCUGCUGCCAUAAUAUUCACUAAGGUGGAUAUCUUUUGAGAUUGACUCUUUAAAUAUUCUUAGCCUAAUUAUUAUGAACUCUUUUGACAAAUCGCAUUUCAAGCAACUGAACCUCGCAUAUAUGUAUGUCUAGUAUGAAGUGUUAUCUUUUUGUCUCAGACCUCCGAACUUUUGAUCCUGGUUGGGAGAAUUUCUAUCUAAGUUGUCGUAUUUAUUAUCCUUCAAUUACGAAAUUCCUUUAUUAUGAAUGUGUUACCCAAAUCUAAGGACAUAUCACCUAUUUUAUUCAUGCAA